GAGGAAUAUUGGUCAAUGGACGGAAGUCUGAACCAGCCAAGUAGCGUGCAGGAUGACGGCCCUAUGGGUUGUAAACUGCUUUUGUAUGGGGAUAAAGUUAGGGACGUGUCCCUAUUUGCAGGUACCAUACGAAUAAGGACCGGCUAAUUCCGUGCCAGCAGCCGCGGUAAUACGGAAGGUCCAGGCGUUAUCCGGAUUUAUUGGGUUUAAAGGGAGCGUAGGCUGGAGAUUAAGUGUGUUGUGAAAUGUAGACGCUCAACGCCUGAAUUGCAGCGCAUACUGGUUUCCUUGAGUACGCACAACGUUGGCGGAAUUCGUCGUGUAGCGGUGAAAUGCUUAGAUAUGACGAAGAACUCCGAUUGCGAAGGCAGCUGACGGGAGCGCAACUGACGCUUAAGCUCGAAGGUGCGGGUAUCAAACAGGAUUAGAUACCCUGGUAGUCCGCACAGUAAACGAUGGAUGCCCGCUGUUGGUACCUGGUAUCAGCGGCUAAGCGAAAGCAUUAAGCAUCCCACCUGGGGAGUACGCCGGCAACGGUG
rnacentral:rRNA from 1 species